rnacentral:tRNA from 1 species
UUUAAAGGAUAAAAGUAAUCCACUGGUCUUA